AGCGCUCACUCGUUUUGGUGGCGCUCGGAUUUCGGGACGUGGGAGGCACAGGAGGAAGAAAAACUCGAAGAAGAAGAAAUCCCAAAGCCACCUUCUCUCAUGUGUUUGGUGCUGGAGCAAACAGAUCCAUCCCAGCUGAGAGUCAUUCCUUUGGGCCCCUUCAUGCACAAGCAGUGAUGCUCUGCAAAAGCCAUUUUGUAGCCGCACUGACAUGAGAACAUGUGUGUUUGAAGCCAGCUCACUCCUUGAUGCACUGAUGGUCUUACUCUCCGCAGCACUCCCACAACCAAGGAAUUGUCCCUUUUUCCGGGGAAGCUCUUUGUAUAGAAAUCUCUGGUGCUGAUGCCCAGCUGCUCUUCUCCAGCUGCUCUUCUACCUCAUCAAUCUGUGGCCAUGCAAGAGGACUCGGCACUGAUGGCACCUUCUAAUGCAAAUAUUCACAACUUGUUGGUAUUUAUGAUUGUCUUCUUGAAAGAUCCUAUUCAAGUCCUUCAAAAAGCAGGGAGGAAGAAAGGUUUCUGGUUUAAAUUGGAGCCUCAGAGUGGCAGCUUUUCACCAGAAGAUGUGACAAUCUUUUUCCAGCAGAGGAACUUGAUGAGUAUUUCCAUAUAAAGAAGAUGGCCUAAAAGAGAGAGUUUAUCUUUGGAAGGAGAAUGGUUUCCAUUUUCCAGGAUGCCCUGAGAUGAUGCCAUGCACUCAACAACAGAAAUGCCGGCUUGCAGAAAUGCUGGUGGACAGACAUGAAGGCAGGCCAAGUGAUGCUUUUCCUACUGAAGCAUCUACAUUGCUGUUCAUCUGAACACAGGAAAUCAAACCUUAUCCCUGCCAAGCAGCUUUAAUACUGUUUCAUCAAUCCAUACUACAAACAAUGAACAUGGUGGCAUUGCGAGGCGUAGCUUAGACAGGUUCAUUUACGAAAAUCUAAAGCCAGAGAGAAGAAAGCAGCAUAGCUGUCAAGACACUCCAAUUCCUGUUUGUACAACAACAAGAGCCAAGACUAUGGCUUGAACAAUGGAUUAACUAAUGUGUCACAGACACAGAAAGCCAUGGAAAAAUGAAGGAGGAAGAGGUUUCCCUCCCACCUUAAAUGCAUCUGAUGUGGGGCUGUUGGGCAAGGCAAAAGAGAGACAGAAGUCACUUCAAUGAGUAAGGCUUCAUAAAAAUGAGAAGCUUCUAGGAAGGCUCAAGGAGGGAAGAGAUGGAGGAAUGCUUGUCCUCAGCCUCAGCUGCUUUUGGGAGUCAUUGGUCCAUGCAGUCAGUAGGUCAAGCCAAGUUCAGCAAUUAAUACCUGAACUCUCCCCAAAGUGACUCCUUGUUCCUCUAUAUGCACUGGCUUACGAUAGCAAUUUCAAUUUGGUUUUAUAGUUACUUUGCACUGUGGAAACAUGCCUGAACGAACGGCCAAAGUGCAGAAGUUAAGGUGUUUCUGGAGGAGGGGUGUCUCUGACUCAUCUUGAUAAUCACUGAAUCCCAAGAGAUGUGCUUAGUUUUUGAGGGUCCUUCUGCUUUUGGCCCCCAGGUAAAGAUAACACUCAAAUCCAUCCCUGUUCCUGGCCUGUCAGCCAGCAUUGCGGCUGCAUUUCAUCUUGCUGAGACCAGAUGCAGUGGUGGGGGCAAGUCUAAAAACCAGGGCACCGCUAUGACUUAAGCUUGGGCUCAGCAUUCUUGCAGCCACAAAGCUGAAGUUCAAAGGUCCCUUUCUUUGUUUGGUGUAUGCUGUGGUAAUUUGUCAAGUUUUAUCUAUUUCUGCUGUAGCUGCAGAGUAUGUAAAAUACCCCUGGCUUUGGUUGAAAAAGCAACAAAAGCAGGAGGCCACAGCAUUUUUCAUGUAAAUGUUUGUUCUGGGCAUAAUUGUCUCACAAACCCAACCAAAGGCACUUAAAUUGGUUUAAAAAGGUUGGCAGUUAUAUGGCUUUGACAGCUUCAGCCAUACCCAGCUUGUUCUGGCAUUCAUGAGCUCCUUACAUGGAUUUUUGCUGUCAAAAGGAGCUUUUUUUUUUUUUCAUUGCUUAACAUCAGUUAAUAGGCACUUAACAUGAAGCAACUUCCUUUUUAUGUUCCUAUUCAGUCUCUCCUGAUCAAUGUGGGAUGAGAUCACCUGAAUUUUAUUUGGGAUGUCAAAAGAAAAAUUGGCAACAUCUACCUAAGGCUGUUUUUUCCCCCCCUUCUCCUUUGAACAGGAUGGGAUUUCUACAGAACAAUUAACAUUCAUUUGCUAAGUGGUUUCUCAAGUAUGUUUAUGAGAAAUGCAAAUACCCCGGGACUAUGUUGGAUUUGUUUUCUACCCCUCACCUCACUUUAGCCUCUGAUACUGCUGGUUUUAUGUACAAGACUCAGCUCACCAGAAGGUAUUUCGUGUCUAAAGCUGAAUGUAUCUGUAAACCUCUUGAACAUGGAGACGCUUAGAUGCAAGAGUGAAAAUGCUGUUGUAUCACAGCUUAAAAAUAGAGGCUGUUUAGACUUCUAAAGGUGUUGUGCAAGAGAAUUUCAAUUGGAGGUGAGUGAGCUUGAGUGAGUGAGCUGUCCCAGUGGAUAAAGUGGGUCUCUGAUGUCAGCCUUCCGUUAAGAUAACCCGUGGAAGCUGAUGCCUCCAGGACUGUAUUGUUUCACGUCAAACCGUCUGCUGCAGAGCAAAGGCGAUAGCAAGCGUGUUGAUUUAUGAAGUGGUGGCUGAGUUCCCAACCAGAGGCAGCAGACACAUUUUGCAUUUGAAAUAUGACACUCGGAGGCAUGCUGUCUGCCUGUGGUCCGACUGUGUGCUGGGUUUCUCAAGCCUGGUGAAAGUCAUCCACCGAUCCGGAGAUAUCAAAUGGAUUUCUCUGGCCUCUCUCCAGCUGCCUGGUUUUCACCUAACUUGCAGGCAUAGAGUGGCAACAAGACCUUGUAUUGAGUUUUGUAUGAAGUUGGCCACUACAUUCAGUAACAGUUAAGGGAGAACAGGCAAAUGCACAUAUGUUUUCCCUAGGAAAUGAAGCUAAAUGGAGUUACUCCUUCCUAACCACUUACAGGACUUCAAAGAGCAAGCCCAAGGUUGGCAAAGAAUGAUGAGAAGGGAUAAAUUUAGUGGGAUAGGACAAGCCAACCUGAAGACUCCCUCCCACAACACAAAUAUAACCCCUUGAGGGCAUUCACUUGGAAAGUCUGCUUAAUUGCAGCCUAAUUGCUGCUCUGGAUGCAGUUCUCAUGCCUUUUGAAGAUGCCUUGAGACUGGCCAGUUGAAAACUGCUCUUAAACAUGUUUUUUUUAAGAUAUUAGGCCAAGACAAAGGAAAUGUGCCAGUGAGUCAUGAUUGGAGCCUAUCAAAAUGCAGGGAUGAAGGAAUGCAUAUCUUGUUUCCUCAAGUGAGAAGAAUUAACUGCAUGUGAACAAGGGUAUUGUGAGUCCUGGAAAUAGCCAUGAAGACAGCAGCAACAGGAACACACACAAAUACAAUUUAACCCUUCUCCUUUUAUGCUUCAUACUUCAGGCCAAAGGAACUUCUGCUGCAGGAGUCAGCAAGUCAGAGGUGUGGUUUCGAGGUGGUUUUAGGAAUGACCUUUCAUUACACAAAAAAAUGUUUUAAAAUUAAAUAUUAGAAUAUUAUGCAGAAAUUGGGACUUAAUGUAGAAUUUUAAAGGAAAUGAAAAACUCAUCCAAAGGACCUGGAAGAAAUGAUAGCUAAUAAAAUUAUGGUGGAUAACUGCUUUAGGAAACCAGUGCAUUCAAGGGGAACACAGAGGAGGUGGUCAAAAGCUUCUUUGGUCUAUAUCUGACUACCUAGCUCCUGGAGAAAGAGAUUCAAUGGGGUGGAAUGGCCAGGGUUGCUGAAUGGCAGGGGCAAGUGGAUCCAACCACACCAUACAAAGCCCCAGGCCAGAGCUGAGGACAUACCAGCUACUACCUGUGAGGCAGCGGCUCAGGCUCCAGGGUUGGUACAUUAAUAAAAUCACCCUUGUUCAAGGUUAUGGUACGAGUUGAUUGCUUCUAAUUAGGGAUUUGUAUUCAGUUGUGACAUCCUGCAAUUUUUAUUACCUUUAUGGUAAUAACUGCAAAUAAUAAAAUGACAAACUAUUGUAAUUAAACUUGAAUUAAUUACAAAUUCAUUACUUUUAAGUUUAUUCAUGGUAGGACCAAUGACACUGAAAACAAUUAAUUAAAGCACUUGAUAUGUAAAUUGUGAAGUAAAGCAUUAAUAUCAGGCAGCUCAUGUAUUCACUUUCUGCAUAGCAGCAGAGAGUUUGUUUAACGAAAGGCAGCUCCCCUGAAUGAUUUUAACUGCUUAUUUUAGGGGGCAGAGAAAUUCCAGAUACUCUCAAGCUGAAAUUAAUUCCAAAGUCAGGUUCUGCAUCCUCUAAAGCAAAAUGCUAAGCAAGCUAAAAAAGAGAGCUCACUGCCCAGGAUGGCUACUGUGCAUGGUUAAUCACUUCAACAGCACAGAGAGAUGUGCCAAGCCUGUAGAGAGGUGGGGAGGAGGACAGUUCUCUUCUCCGGGUCCACAUGUUUUACUUCUGAUGGGUGGCCCUACAUACGCAGAGCUCAUGGAGAGGGUCAGCAGCGCUCUUGUAACCCCAGACAAGCAACAUGCCCUUUGCUUCAGCUAUAAAUGCCUUCCCCAAACCCAGUAACUUUCUAUCCUGCUGACUUGGUGCUUCUCUGGCAGGGCAGCAAACCUCGUAUUCUGGCUCUCUAAACUGAAAUAAUCUCAUCUGUGAUAGUCUAUUUGUCUUCAGCUUUUGCUGACUUAAUUCAAUGUGACAAACUGAGCUGGGAUCUGCUUGCCCCAGAUAACCUGAGCACAGAUCGCUACAUGUCACUGCAAUGAAAAACGGUCCAUGUUUGGUAUAAGAUUCUCCUUGUGCACCUGUAUCGUGACAUUCACUCUCACAAAGCCUUGUCCUUAGCCCUAGAGGAGCAUCUUCUGCAGGAGAAGUGCCUGGUGCAACCUCUUCUUGUCAGCUUCUUGUCUCCAGGCAAUGAGCCAUUGCUGUUGGAUCAGGCUCUGUGUUGCAGUCAAAUGACACAUAGAUAUUUUAUUUUUCUUCUCUGCUCAGCGACAAUCAGCUGCAGUCUCAACAUGGAAAAGCCAAAGGGUUGAAAAAUGCACAGAAGAAUGCUGAGACGGGCAGCCUUGGAAGGCGCAGGCUGCUCAGUGCGAGCUGUGACACAGGAAUGUGUCUCUGCUCAGAGCAUCCUUCUCUGACAGAGCUUUAUUUCCCCAGUUCUCACACUCAGCAGCUUUGACUGCCUUGUUCCAACAGCCUGCGACACAUCUGCCUGGUGAAGGUCAGCUUUUUGUUUUUGUCCCUCUAAUGUUUUUUUCAGGUGGAGGCAUCAGUAUCAUGUUGGGGAGCACAAAACAUUUGCCUUCUGCUAAAGAGAGCUGCCAUUUUACCACAGCACCCUCUGUGCUCCCAGUUGUGUGCAGCCCACGUACAAUUCUAUCUCACUUUUGCAAGCCAGUGAAAGAAGCAGCUUUUCUGUCAAGGGGGAAGGCACAGAUGAAGGCGAGACGUGAUCAGACAGAAAGGCACCUCCAGCUCGGACAAGGAGUGCCUAAAGCGGGGAGGCACACCCAAGGUUAAUAACAUGUUGCUCCACCAGCUUCUGUCUAAUCUUGGAAAAUGUCCUCUGCUGCAAAGAAAAAUGGGAAAGUGAUUAUGUGACUUGAAAUAAGGUCUUGCUCUACUGUCUAGACAGCUUUAAAAAACAUCAAGCUAGGGUGUUCCUAUUUAUGAAAAAUGCAGCUGUACUUCUGCCUUCCUUGAGAGAGAGAAGAAAGCGGUGCACUUGAGGUCAUGUGGCUGCAAUGUGCUCACUGAGCCUGUCCAUGAGAAUUUAUUCCUCUCUUUUUCUUUCUUCACUUCCUUUAUUCCUUGGGAUAAAUGGCUUGUGCUUCCAACCUGCCAUGUCCAGCACUGUCUGUGCUGGGACUGCCUGAUGUGGGAGCAUCCCUGAUGCUGGGUGAUGACACAGGCUUCGUUACCAUAAUACUGCCCACAGCAAAAUCGCAGGCAAUCUCCAGCUCCUUAAUAGAGUCUCUUAUAGACUCUCUCUUAAAUCUGAAAAAUUUAAUUUGCCAUAAAUGCAGCCUCAGCAAUUCCCUUUUUUGUUGUUGUUGUUUUGGGUUGGAUUUUUUGUUUGCUUGUUUGUUUUCCAUAGUAAAUUAUGUGCAUGGGGUUUGACUUCUUUUUUUUUUUUUUCCUGGUGGGAUCUUGGCAGAUGGAAACUGAUGCCCAAAUUGGCUGACCAGGAUUUUCAGCAGUGCCUAGCACCAGCCGGAGCUUCAAUGCUCGGCAUCCUCUGCUAAUGGGGCCCAGCAUCACAUCACUGCUAAGGUUCAACCCUGAAUGGACUGAAAAACCCCCACACUAUUGAUCAGGGAGUUCUGCCCUACAAAAGAGAGAAAUGGGUCAGCAGAUAUGUUAAUCCCAGCUUGAUCUAAAGUCUUCAGGACAGGUGGCAACCUUCAUUUAAUGGAACAAUGAGAUCAUUAGGAAUUCGUAAUGAACUGUACUGCAGCCAUGAAAGUAGGUCACCCUUACCCGAGGAACACUUCAAAAUGAGUCUGUUCCCAUUCAUGUGCAGCAGCAGAGAUGGCCAGGGGCAGACUGACAGCUCUAUCUCGGGAUUUGCUAAACAAUUUUAGGAACAAAAGAGGACAAAUGCUACAGACGUAAAAUGAGUUAUAUUUUCCCAAGUAAAAAGAUGACAUACAAAGCAGUUUUAGGUUUCAAGUCUCACUGGCCACAGGCCCUGCUGUCCUGGACGAGCUAGGAGGAUGGUCAGUUUGGGAAGAACCAGAGUCCCAGGCCAAGUAUGGUAACCAGGAGGAAAAUGGAAUAGAUCCUACCUUAGUCCCCAAAUAAAGCUCUAUCCACCUCUGCCCAUCACAUAAAGAACCAUAUUUCCACAUCCUGAGAGCCUCCUCACUGCAGGAGAGAGGUCUCUCCUCACUACAGCUCUCUCCAUCUGUACAAGACAUAGGCACUUCAUCAUUGAGCUUGAGUCUUUCAGAUGCUUUCUCCAUUGCCUUCAGAGGUGAAGUCUGAGUGCUUCUGUGUCAGGAUACCUGUGCAGCUAGCCCAGACUCAAGGGAAAAAGAAAUCACCCUGUGGCUCUUUUGUUGUGAUGUCCAGUCCACUCUCUAUGCAGAGAUAGCUGGUAACUGACAGAGUUAAAGAGAGGUCUCCCAUGCCCAGGACAUCCAGAGCAGGUCUUCAGUCCUGCCCAAAGUCUCAGCCCUUUCAAGUCAUAUAUGCUGCGUGUCAGUAAACCAUCUGUGAACUUUUUACUCCUCCCAUUGAUGGCCGUGUAUGAAAACCAAGUGCUUAUAAUAGAACUACUUUUUGAAGUAGGUACUACUUUUCGAAAGGUACUGUUAUUUGAAAAGUUUCUUUUCUUCACACCAGACCCUGAUAUUCCUCCAGUGCUGUGUAAGUUUAUUAAUCCCCGAGCAAGCAGUCUGCUGCCCUGCAGCAAAGGAACAGGCAGGCUGGUGUAUGGGGAGGUUUGCUUGGCUAGUGAAAGCCCCAGGGAUAAGGAUAGGAAAAGUCAAGAAAAGAUUUUGCUAAAGAUGCAAUAAGCAGUAGUGGGGUUUGGAGGGCUUAUUUUUUCUUUUUUAAAGAGGUAGUCAAAGCAAUUUGUAAAUAUUUAUGCACAAUAACCUGUGCUAAAAUAACUCUUGGGGUCUCAUUUGAACUCCUGCAGCAAACUGAGGUGGCACACAGUCCCCAUACAGACUUUGCGUUGCCACCAAGGAUCAUAGAAUCAUAGAGACAUUUUAGUUGGAAAAGACCUUUAAGAUCAUCAAGUCCAACCACUAACCUAUGUUGCACUGCAUUUCCAGGAACAUGGCCUUUGUCCAUGUUAGCUGCAGCUUUUGCCAUUGCACACCCAUGGCUGUGUGAUGCCAGGUGGUGGCAGGUGCUUGAAUGAUCAGCCUCCCUCAGCUCUGCCCAGCAUGCCUGGGGCAGCUAGUGGGCUGCUCAACCAGACCUGCCCAACUCACUGGUGCUUCCAAGCAUGGAUAUUCAGGCAGGGCUCUGUGCAAUGUGAUGGGACACCCUGAAAACACAGCAAAACUCCCUCUUUUCUGUGCACACUAGCACCACCAGCUCACACUUGGCCCCAGAACAGAGCAGGGAGAUGAGCUGGCAGGCACAUGUGAUAGUAAGCAUUGCUUUCAUGGGAGAGGGGAGCUAACAAUCUUCACACUCCCUCUAAUUAAAGAAAGUGAAGACCAGUUUGUCUCCUAAUUAUUUUUUUCAGAUUCCCCAUUUCCCUUCCAUCUUGUCAGUACCUGAGAUAUUAGACCCACAAAUUUAGCAGAAGGUCCCGUAAUCUUGACAUGCAGCCCCACAAGAGGCUACUUAAAACCCAUGUUGUACCACAGAAGACUGUCAUCACUCCCCAUGAGCACAUCAGGGGGGCAGGGAUGUCAUGAUUGGCCAUUAGGCCAAAAGGGCAAGUUUCCUUUUGUCCCUCUCCACCUGAAAAUGCUCCAUAAACCUUCUCUUCCCUCCUCAGCUGGAGAUGGGUUGUCCAUGUCUUCUGCUUCUGAGCACAGGUGUCUGUGGUGUUUGCCAAUGCACGGAACUUCAGCAGUUAGGAGGAGAGGCUCCUUCCUCUCCACUCCUAGUUUUGCUGUUUUCACUUACAUUUUCAAUGCCUCUCCUCUUCCAUACACAGCUCCAGGCUUGUUUUCCGUAUGUGCUCCAGCAUUAUCUGUUCAUGAGGACUUUCUGCUCACACUCUGCCAGACAGAGUCUGGAGAUCAUUUGCUGGAGGAAUGGGAAAGAAACUAGAAAAUGCUUCAGGUCAUCUCCUCCCCCACAGUCUUUGCAAAAAAUCAGCUCUAGAGGAUGACUUUGUGGAGGGCCACAAAGAUCUGUGAUCCUGGUGGGGCUUGGUGGGGGGAGACUGCUUCUUUGAGAAAGGAAGCAGAGGGGCUGAACCAGUCCACCAGCAGCACACCCUGUCAGGCUCUAGUUGGCUGGCUUUAGGGCAAAAAAGGGGCACUGUCUACUGAAAUGUUCUGUGCAGAUAUAUGGGGAUGAAAAGAAAAAUGAGCUAGGGAACUGAUAAAGAGAGAAGGGUGCAGUUCCCUCCUUUAGAAGGGGCAGAUUUCUUUGUAUUAUUUGGGAAUAGUCAGACUAAAUGGGUUCCCAGUCCAGCCACUGUUCCCUUGCAACUGAGUUACUUAAAAAUACUCUUUUUUUUUUUUUGGGAGAAGGCCAGAGAAGCUUCUGUGUUUUGUGUGCUUGGCUCUGACCAAGGCAGGAAGACUGCCCUGUGAUAAUGCCAGUUCCUCAGCCCCAGUCCUUCCUCUCCACUCUCAUGGUUUUGGGGCGCUUCAGUAGCAGCAGUGGCUGUGGUUCUGCCUGCGCCUGGCCUGCCUCUCUCGCGACAGAUGCUGGCACUGACAGGGACCCCUCCUCCUGCCACGAGGCAUCUGGCUUCGAAAACUUUCCUGUGCUUGAUCUGCUGGUCUGCCCGGGGAUGGACUGGCUCCAAUGGCUGCUGUUCUAUGGUAGCAGAAUCAUAGAAUACUUUGGGUUAGAAGGGACCUUUAAAAGUCAUCUAGUUCAACUGUGAGGUUGAAUCUAAUCAUGAGGCCUGAAACCCUUGCUGGUGCCUCUUGAAGACAUGAAGUGCUCGUAGCUAAAAGCAGUAGAAUGAUGCCAGUGUGCUAUUCUUAACUUUAAAAUGGUAUAUUUAAAAAGGAAUUAAAGCUGGAGGAUAUUUUAAUGAAUAUGCCAAAUAUGCAGCAUUGAUUCCCCGUGUGUUUCUGCUAGAGCCUUCAGGAGCAUCUGUUUUUUGUCCCAUGCUGGUAAUGUAGGCUCACAGUAAUACACCUUACACCUCUUGGGAGUCAAACCGAUCAUGUUGGCCUUGGUUGUGAAUCAGAAGGUUCAAAUCAUAUCCUGCUAAAAACUGCCUGUGUGAUCUUCAGGCAAAAUCUCUUACCUUGCCUUUGCUUUCUCCACCUGGACAGUCAAAUUAUUGUUUCAUUUUCAGUGAGGGCCGAUGAGACACACAGUGGAGGCAAGCUGUUCCACAGCUUUGCAGCUCACAGUGGCCAGAAAGACAAUUAAAAAACCCUAUACAAAGCUUGAGUAAGAUGGCAAGAGUUUUAUAACAGGCAAUGCUAGUAUGUAUAGUGCUAUAGCUACUUCCAAAACACACAUAGAAGAUGGCAGCUCUGCUUAUUUAUCUCAUGAAAUUGACGGGUUCUUCUAAAUGUUGCUGAAGUGUAUUUCCUCUUUGCAUACUCAGAGACUGCGUGAUGCUAUCUUACCUGCUUUUGCAUUCCUGCAGUUCUGUUUCCUCGGUCUCUUUAUAAAGAUAAAAAUUGGCAGCAGACUCCAACAGCUAAUAUGUUGCAGUGGCAGGAGUGAGAAUUCAGGGCUGUGCUUUCUCAUUUCCGUUUGGUUGCCUCAGACUUAGCCAAAGGCCCUGCAACGACUUGGACUCACCUCUCUGACUUGAAAGCACGUUGGGUUAUGCUCAUUUUCCUUGCUCUAAAUGGCUUCCUAUCAUUCAUCUGUCAUUUAUUCUAAUGUUAAUCAUGAAUAAAACCCACCCUUGGUGGGGAAAACUGUAGGAAGUGUUGGCAGAGCUGAAGUUGACAUUCACUGGAGAGAUGGAUGUAGUGGACCAAAUGGGUAGGUGGCCAAGCCAAACUGGAAAUUCCACUGCUUCUUUGCAAGAAAACAAGAGACUUUUCCUUUAAGCGAGUUACUCAAAACUUUCUGUGCAACUUAGAGUAAACCACUUUGCUUUGAUGUUAGGGUUGAUUAGUUCUUUUGAGGUUUAUUUUAAUAGUAUGUCAGUUUGGGAAGAAAAAAAGAGACUUUAGAAUAAAUAACCAAGAGUGUUUCCACUUCCCCAAGAAUGUGUUUCCCUUUAUAGCAAUAAAACUGGUUGACAAUUUCAACUCAAAUGUGUAAAUAUAUUCCAUCCCCAAAGCACACUUUUCCAUUAAAGUUACCAUUUUAUGAAAAUGGCUUGCCU